rnacentral:siRNA from 1 species
UCGCAAUAAGAAGCUCAAGUGCCC